rnacentral:tRNA from 1 species
GCCACCUUAGCUCAGCUGGUUAGAGUGUCAGAUUGUGGAUCUGAAGGUCAUGGGUUCGAAUCUCAUAGGUGGUACCA